rnacentral:lncRNA from 1 species
UUUUUGGUGUAUUUUAUGCGGUUAUAUUUUUGUAAACCACCCAGAGAGCUUUUUAAUGAUGGAUGGUCUAGAAAUAAUAGAAUUAAUGUUGAGGCCUGCUUCUUAAUCUGAAAAACAAAUGAGAAGGUUUUCAAAUACACACACACACACACACAGAGAGAGAGAGAGAGAGAGAGAGAGAGAGAGAGAAUCCUGAAAUAGGUGACCUGGGGGGAAUGGCAGACCAAUGUCUUCUCCACAAAAUUAUUUGACUGGCUUUUAAAAACAAAAUUGUUGACGUGAAGUCCCUGAUGUGAAUCAGGACCCUGGGUCCCAGGGGGUGCACCUACAAUUUAUUAUAAAAAUAUCAGUUAAAUGAUUGGCAUCACGUAUACAGUGGUACCUCGGGUUAAGUACUUAAUUUGAUCAGGAGGUCCGUACUUAACCUGAAACUGUUCUUAACCUGAAGCACUAUUUCUGGGUUAGCGGAGUCUGUAGCCUGAAGUGUAUGUAACCUGAAGCGUAUGUAAUCUGAGGUACCGCUGUAAUUUGACCCUAAAACUGUGUGUUUCAACUUUUGACUGUAAACGAUUAACCUCUUUCCUUACGGGUUGCGCCCCUUCCAAAAUAUAAAGGGUAGUAGCUAAAAAUGAUGUUUAAUGCAUAUAUAAGGAACAUCUAUCAUUGCUGUUUAUAGUUGUGUGUCUAUUCACUUACAGCCCAAUUAACAAAUGGUCCAAGAACAAACAACUGUUACUGCUAUUGAUUUGAAUGGAGCCCUGCCCCAAAUUCAUUGAAGUUAUGAAUGGAAUAGUUUUCAAGAACGUUAAGCCCUCGGGACAUCUCACAAACAAGAACUGGACUGGUUUUUUCUGCAUUUCCUACGACUGUAAAGUGAAUAAUCAGACAUAUGCCAUCCCACCGUUCUGAAUUGCCACUCGCAAUACUACUAGAUUCCCCAGAGGAACCAGCAGAGCUUGUACUGGAUCAAGGAUGAAUUCUGCCCCUUGGUCUAAUGGAGAAUUGCCUUCACAGGCAGUUCAUUUUUGCCUUACUGUUAGAAUGAGCAGCUCUGCCCUGGAACAUGUGGAGUUGUUUUAUGCAUUGGGGUAAAAGAGCCAGUUCAUAUGCAAUGUAUAUGGUCAUGACCCAAAGACAAGAGGAGAUUUUAUUUUUGCUUACACUCUGCCUUAUAGAUUCCAGCAUUGUUCAAAGCGAAGAGUUCUUUAAAUGAAAUAAGCAAAGGAUCCUCUUACUGGAUGAUAAAUGGGAUAAGAGCAAAACAGAGAGGUCAGCCUUGAUAUAAUUAAUCCCACACUUACAUCAGAUAUGCACAGCUUCCUACUUACACUUUAGGAAUUAAAAAGAGAGAGAGAGAGAGAGCAACAGAAAAAACUGGAAGAAAUUACGAAGGAUGGAGGUGAACUUUUGUGGGCCACAAUGAUAUUACAAUUGUGU